AUCAAUAAUGAUAUUUACUGUAUGCUUCUUACAUAGCCUAUUAGAAAAAAAAAACAUAUUUACACUAUGGUGUAAUAGAGUAGCAUGCAUGGUAUUUCUAAAAUAUAUCAAUAGCAAAAUAAAAUAAACAUAAACAAAACAAAAUAAAAACAAUAAAAUAAAAUAAAACAAUAAUAAUGAAGCACCCACGUAAGUGACCGUUGCAAGCUGACUGGUGUGACGAGCGUCACACAAGCCAUCACGGUCGUCACGC
rnacentral:lncRNA from 1 species